UGUGGCUCACUGAUCUAAAAUAAAAAGACUGGAUAGCGCGUACACAUCGAGUGGUAUGUCGAUUGGUUGAAGCCAGUCGGCCGCCAUCUUGGUAUCCCCAAACCAUGUGGAGGACACGGUUCACAGCAGGAGUGCUCAAUUCAUCGAUCGACUUUUAUGCCAUCUAGAGGAAAAAUAUUCCCUUGUGAUACGGGAUAUCUAUCCUCCACAAAGGUCCUCGGGUGCACUGGUUAAGAAUAGCUUUACAGCAGGGGUGCUCAAUGUGUUGAUCCCGUGUCGAGUUUGGGCGGAGAGAACAUGCAAACUCGACACAUGCGAGGGUGGGAUUUGAACGCUGGUCUGCAGAACUGUGAGUAAGACUCUCUAACCCAGGUGUGCUAAUGCUUCGAUUGCGAUCGACUGGAGUUUUUGUCGAUCCUGACGGCGUGCUGAGAAAAAAAAAAGACAGCUGUAUUUUUUUUAACUUUACCUCACCGCGCAUGUGCAAACAACGACAGUACAGGAAAACACGCUGUCAGUGAGUUCCCCCCUAUUUUAAGUGCUCGCUUAAGAAAUCUUAACACACAUGAGUAUGGAUUCUGGAGUAAAGAAGACAAAAACUUCUUUCAUAAGGAAUGAGAGGCGGACAACUUUUUCACAAUGUCAUUUUUGAAAUGCGUUUGCCUCAUCUGCCAGUGUAGUGAAAUGUGGAGUGGCAUUUUCUAACUGUUUAUGGAAAAUACGACACCAACAUUCUGCCGAAAAGCAAGCUGAGAUUGAGAAAAGUGAAUGAACUAAAAUCCCAACUGGCCGCACAGCAGUCACUUUUCACACAAUAUACUGUAGUUCAACAGCGGAAGCCACUGCUGAAACAUCGUUUCCGGCUGUAACGGACAUCGGAUGUGGAAGGACAUCGGAGAUUGUGUUUCUCACUGCAGUUGGACGAAUCCAGUGACGUGAGUGACACAGCCCAGACAGACGAGACCUGCUACAGGCAGUGAAAGCAACAGAGUGGGUGAUUGGAUCUGCACUACUCCCCCUCCGAGACAUUUACACUGGCAGACUCCUGCGGAAAGCCCAAAAAGCAGUAAUUAUUAAGGUCCAUUCUCUUAUCAGACACCCACUCUCCCCCCUGCUUUCCCUGUGGAAGAUGCUAGGACAUUCAAGUCUAGUACCACGAGACUCAAAAACAUCUUUUACCACAAAGAUUUGAAAUUAAUCUCUUUGCCCCAAGACCUUACCCAGAGCAACAUCUAAUUACUACCGCAUCUCUCCUUUUACACAAAAGUACAAUAUGAUCAACACGUGCAAAACCCAAAUGUACGCAUAAAACAAUAACGUAGACUAGUACUUGGAAUAUGGAUAGACUCCAAACUUGUGAAUAACUGUAUACCCUCUGAAUAUUCAUGGUAUGAUCCUUUACUUUUAUUUUUUAUCUUCAAUGUCACUAAUUGUAAAGAGAUGCUGUGUUAAUUUUAUUAUUCAUGUAACAUCGACAUUUGUCCAUCCAUAUUCUACACUGCUUAUCCUAACAUAACUGUCAGGAACAAAACACGGUACAACCCAAAGUGCACAACUCUGGAGACAAGUCACAAUUCCAGCAAGAGUUUUAUUCAGUCUGAAGUCAGUACACAGGCAAACAGUCCAAGAUGGCAACAGGAGCAAAGCUGAGAGGAAAAGAGGCAAGGUCAAACACAAGGGAGGGUCAAGCUCAUGAGAAUUUAUUUAUGUGAACAAGAUACUGCUGGAAUGUGACAGUGAGGUACAUUAAUCUGGCAAAGGACAAGGCAAUAUACACAAGUGUCCCUGCUGAUCCCGCCUUCCAUGUCCCCCAAAUCCCACGCUUUUCGUUGAAGGGGGUCCUGUCAUCUCGGUUUGGCGGCUGUUGUCCUCGUGCCAUCGUGGGAGGGGAGUGCAGUUUCUCAUGGAUUGGAAGGUCUACAAUCCUGAGGAGCGUGGAUUCCAUCUUGGUUUAUGAUCGCUCAUUAGGGACUUCCCAAGUUGUCCAUCCUGAGGCUCCAGGGCCGUCUGGUGCCGGCCGUUGCAGUGUGUGUGUGUGUGGGGUACUUUCAUGGCUGUGGUCUUCUCACUGUCUCGUCCACACCUGCUCCUGGGACCAGCCUCCCAACGAACGCCUCGUUUGCCUUUAUUCCCCUCUGUAGAUAUUGCCUCGGAAUCUAAUUUCAGCCGCUUAUAUCUGGGAUCUUGUUCUUUUGGUCAUGACUCACAGUUCAUGACCAUAAGUGAGAGUAGGAACGUAGGAACGUAGACCAGUAAAUAGAAAUUGAAAGUUAAAAUAAAUUGAGAGCGUCACCUUUCGACUUAGCUCCUUCUUUAUCACAAUGGACUAAGACAGAGUCCCCAUCGCUGCAGAUGCCGCACUAAUCCGCCUAUCAAUUGUACUUUUACGAGUUUUACUUCACUUGUGAAUGAGAUGCCAAGAUACUUAAACUACUCCACUUGGGGAAAGAUCUCAUCCCUGAUCUGUAAAGGGCAUGCCACUCUUUUCCAACUGAAGACCAUUGUCUCAGAUGUGCAGGUCCUGAUUCUCAUCCAACCCAAACGAAACUCCUCCAUCCCCAGGGACUUGUCAUCCAGUUGCUUUUUAAGCACCUCAGUGAUCUCAACCCCUCGAGAUUGGAGAAACCAUCUCAGAGAACCCAGACUCUGCUUCCUCAUGGGAAGGCCUGUUGGUGGAAUUGAGGAGGUCUUUAAAGUAUUCUCUCCACUGAGUCACAAUGUCCCAAGUCGGGUCCUGCAGUUCCCCAUCCUCAAUAUACACAGAGUUCACGUUGGACUGAUUCCGCUCCUGAGAUGCCAUGUGGUGCAACAAAAUUUCCUCAAACCUUCUACAACUCUUUCUCCAUUGCCUCAUUGAACUUCUCUCAUGCCUGAGUUUUUGAUUCAAAGCUGCAUUGUGCUUUUCCAGCUGGUACCCAUCAGUUGCCUUGGGAGUCCCACAGGCCAAAAAGGCCCAAUAGGACUUCUUUUUCAGCUUGACGGCAUCCAUGACCUUUGGUGUCCAUCAACAUGUUUGAGGAUGACACAUCGUCCACUAGGACUCGAUAUACCCUGCCUCCCCCUAGAACAUGAGUAAUGUUCUGAUGGAGGUGGGACUUGAAACUCUAUCUGACAGAGGAUUCUGCCAGCUGUUCCCAGCAGACCGUCACAAAACAUUUGGCCCUGCCAUGUCAGACCAGCAUCUUCCCCCCAGUGGACAGUUCUGCCCCUCUCUUCACCUGAAUGUCCAAGACAUGUGGCCGCAAGUCAUAGGAGUCUCACAGCCGUGCUUUGUCUGGUUUGUCGUGGGUUACCCUAGCAGGGGCAUGAAACCCCCGACAACUUAGCUCCUCAGAUUUUUGGGACACACAAACCCCUCCACCACUUUAAGGUCACAGCUUCCAGGAGGGAUUUCAACAACUCAAGCAAAACAUAGUUUGCAUUACAUUGGGCACAUCAAGUUUUAUUUAUUUUGACCUUAAUUCUAUGCACUGACACAGAAAAGGCUCUCCAAUUUCAGUACAGUUUCAUAUGAUGACAAUAAAUACCAUUGAUUUGUUGACUUGGAAACAGUUGCUGUUGAUUACUGCAGGUUUUUAACAUAAAUAAUGUUCCCCUGUCAGUGAAAAUAAAAAUGCCUUGUGGAUUUUUCACAUCGCAGAUAAAUGUUGUGAACAAGCCUUAGAAAUUUCAAUGAACAAAAAAAUUAUGAAAUCAGGUUUUAAAUUUGAUGCUGUGGACGUGUUUUGUGAAUGGGCUGAAAAGAGCCACCAAACUUUUCAGUCACUCAAAUAAGUGUGUAAGAUUCUAGCAAAGUGGUUCUUAAAAUCCUGACUCCAAGUAUCACUGAAACAAAUACUAAGCCCUCUAAGUAAUGCUAUCUCGAUCAUCAUUCAAAUACAUUCGUAUUUACUCCCCAUGCCCACCAAGUCGCACCACCAACCACUUUAACACCUCCGACUUCUCCAUUGAUCAUCAGUAUCACAGGUGACUCCACUCACCCAUCCUGCUGCCUCUUCAAAUUGCUGCCAUCAGGGAGGAGAGUUCAUAGUCUUCAGGGCAAAAUCAGCAGAUUCUUCCACCAGGCAGUUAGGAUGCUCAAGUCCCUCUCUGAUUUGCCCUCAUUAUUAUUAUCCCUCCCUGGCACAUAGCACCUUUGACUUUAGACCAGAAAUCAAGAUCAUCAUUACAGUUUAUUGUGUAUAGUUUGAGGCGCAAUGUACAAAUUUUGGAUGGAUGAGGUUAUUUGUAUUUUAGUCAUGAAUUUUAAGUAUUCAUUCUAUUAUAGA